UUUUCAUUUUAUGAUUCACGGUUUUUUCUAAGUUUCACAUUGCAGAUUUUUGUAACUUUUGACAUAAGAAAUAAAGCUUCUUCUAUUCCAGUGGCUUAAUUAGAAAUACAUUACUGCUUGAAACGCACACACCAAAUUUUUCAUAUUGACAACACAUACAAAAUAACGGGAGAAAAUUAUUAUUUUGUUUUAUUGCCUCAAGUGGAGCGAAUACAGGGGCACAAUUAUUUAGCAUUAAACACAACAAUUAUUAAUAAAUUAAAGCGUAACACCUUGUAUAAAUGAGACCAAGAGAGAAGAAAGCCAACCCACUAGUACAGAGUGUUUAUUAAUUAUUAAUUAAUUUAUAUUAUUCUGGCGCUUACAACAACACGACGAAACAAAACUGAUACGAGUUAUCUUCUCAAUUAAAAAAUUGCAAAAUAUUAAAUUGAGUGCAAACCGUCAUAGAUCCAUUCUAUGGAAAAUUAAUUUUCGUUUCCUUAGGAGUUUAAAUGCUGAAUCAUCUUAUUAUUCAAGUUCGGAGAUAUUAAAUCAGCAGAAUUGAGUAAUGACUUAACUAAACUGAGUCUUCGAACUGAUAAUUUUCGCAGUUCAGUUUCAAGAUGCAGAUUAAUUAAAUGUACAAACAUACAUAUCGGGAUAUGGGGGUUUUAAAGCCGAUUUAAUGGAUUCCUUGGUGAUACGUCCUUCCGAAUCCAAGAAGUUAAAUUGUAAAAUCUCCGUUGGAUCUUCGCCUUUGGCGAAUCGGGUAGCCAUUGUGAUUAUUGUGACUUAAAUUCGGAAUAGGAUGUGUAAUUUAUUAUAUUAUAGCAUUAUUAUCAGAUUUUUUCCUGCAAAUUAAAUUAAAGUUGAAGAUCAGAAAGAUGUGGCAUUCAUGCAAAUAUCUUGCUUGAGUAUUUGAAAAAAACGCGCAUUUUUGAUAAAAUGAUGUUUACAAUCGUCAUUUAAACAAAUUUUAAUUAAACUAUCAGACUAUGAAAUGUUGUUAACUUAUGUUAAUUAAACUAUUGCUUUUUAAGUUCAAAAUAUGAAUGACCUAAUGUAUGAAAUACAUUUACUGCACAAGAUUUUAAGUAUUAGUGUAAAGUAUUUUUUAAAUAGUUUUUCGAGAUUUUAAUAAUCAUUUUCACAUACUACUUUUUAAAUUGAUUUAUUUCGAAACAAGCUUUGUCUAGUACAUGUUAUCACACUUACCUUCAAAGUUUCAAAUAUAGGUCAUCAACCACUUUUAAUAAUAAAUUAAAUAAUUGUGCGGCCUAAAUUAUAUUAUAUUUACAUGCAACCGUACCACAAUUAUAUGAUUAUUACUUCUGAUUCAACCGAUUUUAACUAACAUAUCGUAGAUUUCCACCACAUUUCCUUACUCAUAAUUGUUAUCUAAACAAGAUAAUAAUAAGAUGAUAAGAUUUAAGUGAUUAAACACAAUCUUAAAUGUUGAGUAAAUUUAAAGUAAAGCAAUAAUUACACGAGUGUUAGUGCUGAUUCAUACAGGUCGGUGUUUUUAAAUAUAUUCAUAUUUAAUGUUAUUCUAGUUACUGUUCAGAAUCGGUUGAAAUUUGUCUACAUGCUAGCACAUCUUUACAUUGAAUAAUAGUUUUUGCAUUAUAAUGUGAGUAGGUUUCUUAGGGAUGGAUAAGUACUAUUAUUAGGGCGCUUUUGCCGAAUUAUCACAAAUUUUAUGCAAUGAAUUAGAGAACUAAAAACUAUAUAAUAAAUUAGA
rnacentral:lncRNA from 1 species